CCCUUAGAUGUUCUGGGCCGCACGCGCGCUACACUGAUGCAUUCAACAAGCCUAGCCUUGACCGAGAGGUCCGGGUAAUCUUUGAAACUGCAUCGUGAUGGGGCUAGAUUAUUGCAAUUAUUAAUCUUCAACGAGGAAUGCCUAGUAAGCGUGAUUCAUCAAAUCGCGUUGAUUACGUCCCUGCCCUUUGUACACACCGCCCGUCGCUCCUACCGAUUGAAUGGUCCGGUGAAAUGUUCGGACCGCGACAAGGCGGACGGUUCGCUGUCAGCUUUGCUGCGGGAAGUUCAUUAAACCUUAUCAUUUAGAGGAAGGAGAAGUCGUAACA
rnacentral:rRNA from 1 species